UACGGAGGGGGCUAGCGUUGCUCGGAAUCACUGGGCGUAAAGCGCACGUAGGCGGAUCUUUAAGUCAGGGGUGAAAUCCCGAGGCUCAACCUCGGAACUGCCUUUGAUACUGGGGAUCUCGAGUCCGGGAGAGGUGAGUGGAACUGCGAGUGUAGAGGUGAAAUUCGUAGAUAUUCGCAAGAACACCAGUGGCGAAGGCGGCUCACUGGCCCGGAACUGACGCUGAGGUGCGAAAGCGUGGGGAGCAAACAGG
rnacentral:rRNA from 1 species